rnacentral:rRNA from 1 species
ACGCUGGCGGUAUGCUUACACAUGCAAGUCGAACGGAACUUAGGGUUUAGUGGCGGACGGGUGAGUACGCGUGAGAAUCUACCAUUAGGUCGGGGACAACCAUUGGAAACGAUGGCUAAUACCGGAUGAGCCGGAAGGUAAAAGAUUAAUUGCCUAAUGAAGAGCUCGCGUCUGAUUAGCUAGUUGGUGAGGUAAAAGCUCACCAAGGCAUCGAUCAGUAGCUGGUCUGAGAGGAUGACCAGCCACACUGGGACUGAGACACGGCCCAGACUCCUACGGGAGGCAGCAGUGGGGAAUUUUCCGCAAUGGGCGAAAGCCUGACGGAGCAAGACCGCGUGAGGGAGGAAGGCUCUUGGGUUGUAAACCUCUUUUCUUGGGGAAGAACAAAAUGACGGUACCCAAGGAAUCAGCAUCGGCUAACUCCGUGCCAGCAGCCGCGGUAAUACGGAGGAUGCAAGCGUUAUCCGGAAUUAUUGGGCGUAAAGCGUCCGCAGGUGGCUCUGUAAGUCUGUCGUUAAAGAAUGGGGCUCAACCCCAUACAGGCGAUGGAAAACUACAAGGCUAGAGUUUGGUAGGGGUCACGGG